rnacentral:rRNA from 1 species
AACGUAGGAGACAAACGUUAUCCGGAGUUACUGGGCGUAAAGGGCGUGUAGGUGGUAGAGUAAGUCUGGCGUGAAAUUUUUCGGCUUAACCGGGAAAGGUCGUCGGAUACUGCUUAACUAGAGGACGGUAGAGGCGUGUGGAAUUCCGGGUGUAGUGGUGAAAUGCGUAGAGAUCCGGAGGAACCCCAGAGGCGAAGGCGGCGCCCUGGCUCGCAACUGACGCUCAGACACGACAGCAUGGGGAGCGAACGGG